GGAGUUUUGUUUGAUGGAAAACAAAUAAAAUGAAAGCGCGAAUUUUUCACAUUAAACGCAAUCGUAAAUUUCGUAUCGUUUCGUUCGUUUGAUUGCGCGACGGCUCUCGAAUCUCUCAUGAAAAAUUGUCUGCGUUAAGCGAAAACAAAUAAUUAAAAAUAAAAAUGAAAGAAAAUAAAAGCGAAGUUUCGAGGGCAAGAUGGCGUCGCAAGGAAAAACAAGCAAGCAAGCAAGCAAGCAAGCAGAUUUUUCCGAAUACAUAUAUCGAGGACGCUAACGUGCCAAGCAAAAGGGUGUGGAACGGUUUCUAUUAAUAAUCGUGUUGCAUCGUGUCCACACGUCGGCCCGUCCAAGUUUUACGAACGGGCAGGAUAUUACCGACGAGCCAAUGCAAUUUCGUCACGAUACAAAUUCGUUUAUGCACGUGUACCUUUCUAUGCGUGUAUCUGUAACUCGGAUAAGUUACAUUCACCUGGCUUCGUUGUAAAAAAAAAAAAAAAAAAAAACAACCCAAAAAUGUUAACCUCGAUCAAUUUUGUAAAAAAGAAAAGCGACAAUUCUCGAAGUUCAAUCGAUUUGAAAAAUUUCGAUUGACAAUUUCUUUCCCACCACUUGUAUUGUUAUCGUUGUCGUUUAUUCACGAAAAACGGAAGGAAAAUCCUUGGCCAGUAUUUCAUUGUCAUCGGUGAAAAGGGCCUUAUGCCGUAAGGUUCGAAAGAUGUUGUUUACGUUAACUGCUUGCACGAGGAAAAGAAUUAGAAAGAGGGAGAAAA
rnacentral:lncRNA from 1 species